rnacentral:pre_miRNA from 1 species
GUUUAUCUGUGUGUGGAGGGUGUUCAGCACCAGGGACAGGUAUGUUAACCUGUGUGUGAUGGUGUUCAGCACCAGGGACAGGUGUGUUUACCU